rnacentral:sRNA from 1 species
CAAUAAUAGCUGUCUGCUUACUCAUAAAUAUAGUAUUUAUCGCCGUAGUCUGUUCUUUUGUG